rnacentral:rRNA from 1 species
UGAGGAAUUUUGCGCAAUGGGAGCAAUCCUGACGCAGCAACGCCGCGUGGGUGAUGAAGGCCUUCGGGUCGUAAAGCCCUGUCAGGUGGGAAGAAUGUCCCGGGACUGAACAGGUUUCGGGAGUGACGGUACCACCAGAGGAAGCACCGGCUAACUCCGUGCCAGCAGCCGCGGUAAUACGGAGGGUGCAAGCGUUAUUCGGAAUUACUGGGCGUAAAGCGCGUGUAGGCGGCCCUGCAAGUCUGAUGUGGAAGCCCCGGGCUUAACCCGGGAAGUGCAUUGGAAACUGCAGGUCUUGAGUACUGGAGAGGAUGGGGGAAUUCCCGGUGUAGAACACCAGCGGCGCAGGCGGCUCACUAGACAGUUUCUGACGCUAAGAUACGAAAGCGUGGGGAGCAAACA